rnacentral:rRNA from 1 species
UACAGAGGUCUCAAGCGUUGUUCGGAUUCAUUGGGCGUAAAGGGUGCGUAGGCGGCGCGGUAAGUCGGGUGUGAAAGCCCGGGGCUUAACCCCGGGUCUGCAUUCGAUACGGGCUAGCUAGAGUGUGGUAGGGGAGAUCGGAAUUCCUGGUGUAGCGGUGAAAUGCGCAGAUAUCAGGAGGAAUACCGGUGUUGUAGACGGCUCUCUGGACCGCCACUGACGCUGAGACACGAAAGCGUGGGUAGCAAACAGG